UACGGAGGAUGCGAGCGUUAUCCGGAUUUAUUGGGUUUAAAGGGUGCGCAGGCGGUCUGUUAAGUCAGCGGUCAAAGCCCGGGGCUCAACCCCGGCCCGCCGUUGAAACUGGCGUUCUUGAGUGAGCGAGAAGUAUGCGGAAUGCGUGGUGUAGCGGUGAAAUGCUUAGAUAUCACGAAGAACUCCGAUUGCGAAGGCAGCUCACUAGACUGCAACUGACACUGAUGCUCGAAAGUGUGGGUAUCAAACAGG
rnacentral:rRNA from 1 species